UACUAGAGUAGCACUCGCAUAUCAAUAAGCGGAGGAAAAGAAACUAACAAGGAUUCCCCUAGUAACGGCGAGUGAAGCGGGAAGAGCUCAAAUUUGAAAUCUUAAAGGGUUUCCCUUUACGAAUUGUAGUUUAAAGAAGUGUUUUCUGUUGAGGUUUUGGUAAAAGUUCUUUGGAAUAGGACAUCAUAGAGGGUGAGGAUCCCGUAUUUGACCUUUACUUUCAACUUUGUGAUACACUUUCAAAGGGUCGGAUUGUUUGGGAAUGCAGUCCAAAAUGGGUGGUAAAUUUUAUCUAAAGCUAAAUAUUGGCGAGAGACCGAUAGCGAACAAGUACCGUGAGGGAAAGAUGAAAAGAACUUUGAAAAGAGAGUUAAACAGUACGUGAAAUUGUCAAAAGGGAAGCGUUUGACACCAGUGUUGUUUUUCUGAAAAUCAAUUAAAGAACUGUUUAUGCUAAGUUGUUUAGACUUUAUCAGCUAACUGUUUAGUUUUGAGCUUUUCUUUAAUGCACUUUUCAGUUAACAAGUCAACAUCAAUUUCUUUUGCUGUAAAAAAGCUUGAGGAAGGUGGCUUGAGAUUCGUCUUAAGUGUUUAUAGCCUCUUGCCUAUGCAGUCGGAGAGAUUGAGGUCUGCAGCGUAGAUCCUUCGGGGCUAAAUGCAUUUGUGCUAAGUUAUAGCAUUUUAUAGACAACUUGUUGACUAUGAUUUGUCUUGUAGCUUACUCGCUUAUGUUAUUUUACCUACGCUUAGGAUGUUGAGCGCAUGUCUCUCUCU
rnacentral:rRNA from 1 species